UCCCAACUUUCCCCUUCUCCUCCACAAGUUCCAUAAAUUCUCUCUAAGCUUAUGGCAACUCAGUUCUAGAAUCUUCUAUAACUCAAUCUCUGUAUCUGCUGCUACUUCGACGAAAAUGGCGAGUAUUUCAGCUACACUUUCAACUGCAACUUUACCGGAACUCAAAUUUCUAUCUCCGAUUUCCACUUCCAGAAGUUUCCGUUUCCGUAUACCUCAGCGGAGUAGAAUUAAGGCGGCGUCGGGUAAGAGAGAAGAUAACGUGGUGUUGGAGGAGAGAGAUGCGGAAUUGUUGAGGAAAGUGAAUGGGAGUGUGAAUGGGAAUGGGAGUGUGAAGAGGAGUGUUGAUUUGAAUGGUGCGUUGUUGGUGGAUAAGUAUAGUAAUGGAAGUGUAGGUGUGAUUGAGAGUGAAAAUGGAAGUUUGAUGAAGUAUGUGAAUGGAAAUGGUGUAGCGGGGAAGAGUGCGGAGAAGGUUGUGGAGGUGAAGGCAGAAGAAGUGGUUGAGAAGAGGAAUAAGAAGAGUAUUGAUGAGAUAGGACAAGAGGAGGCUUGGUUUAAGAAGAAUAAGGAAGUUAAGGUCUCUGUACCGCCUGGAGGCCGUUGGAACAGAUUCAAAACAUAUUCAACUAUUCAAAGGACUUUAGAGAUAUGGGGAUCUGUCUUCACUUUCUUAUUCAAGGCUUGGUUGAAUAAUCAAAAGUUCUCCUAUCAAGGUGGAAUGACAGAAGCAAAAAAAACUGAGCGGAGAAAGGUCCUUGCUAAGUGGUUAAAAGAAACUAUUUUGAGAUUGGGUCCAACUUUUAUCAAGAUUGGCCAGCAAUUCUCAACAAGAGUGGAUAUUCUUGCUCAGGAGUAUGUUGAUCAGUUGUCUGAGCUUCAGGACCAAGUUCCUCCUUUCCCAUCUGAAACUGCUGUAUCCAUAGUUGAAGAAGAACUUGGCGGCUCAUUGGAUAAUAUAUUUGAAAGAUUUGACCGUGAACCAAUAGCUGCUGCAAGUCUUGGUCAGGUGCAUCGUGCAAGACUGAAUGGGCAGGAAGUAGUUGUCAAAGUACAAAGGCCCGGUCUUAAGGAUCUUUUUGAUAUCGAUCUUAAAAACCUGAGGGUGAUAGCUGAAUAUCUGCAGAAAAUAGAUCCUAAAUCUGACGGUGCGAAAAGAG
rnacentral:misc_RNA from 1 species